GAUGAACGCUGGCGGCGUGCCUAAUACAUGCAAGUCGAGCGAACGGACGAGAAGCUUGCUUCUCUGAUGUUAGCGGCGGACGGGUGAGUAACACGUGGAUAACCUACCUAUAAGACUGGGCUAACUUCGGGAAACCGGCGCUAAUACCGGAUAAUAUUUUGAACCGCAUGGUUCAACAGUGAAAGACGGUCUUGCUGUCACUUAUAGAUGGAUCCGCGCUGCAUUAGCUAGUUGGUAAGGUAACGGCUUACCAAGGCAACGAUGCAUAGCCGACCUGAGAGGGUGAUCGGCCACACUGGAACUGAGACACGGUCCAGACUCCUACGGGAGGCAGCAGUAGGGAAUCUUCCGCAAUGGGCGAAAGCCUGACGGAGCAACGCCGCGUGAGUGAUGAAGGUCCUCGGAUCGUAAACCUCUGUUAUUAGGGAAGAACAUAUGUGUAAGUAACUGUGCACAUCUUGACGGUACCUAAUCAGAAAGCCACGGCUAACUACGUG
rnacentral:rRNA from 1 species